GCGCACCAGGAGGCGGGGCAAGGAGCGGCUUCCCAGGCUCUGCCUCUCCGCGACGCUACUCGGGAUUGGAGCUUAAGGACCUUUACAGUUCGGGUCCUCCGGCUGGUGUCUGGGUUCAGGAUGGCAUUGGACUCAGAGGACCGCGGGGCUGCCUGCACGCUGGAGUUCGCGGUGCAGAUGACCUGUCAGAGCUGCGUGGACGCGGUGCGCACGUCCCUGAAAGGGAUAGCAGGUGUCCAGAGUGUGGAGGUGCAGUUGGAGAACCAGAUGGUCCUGGUGCAGACCACCCUGCCCAGCCACGAGGUGCAGGCCCUUCUAGAAGGCACUGGACGGCAGGCGGUACUCAAGGGCAUGGGCAGUGGCCUGUUGCAGAAUCUGGGGGCAGCAGUGGCCAUUCUGGAGGGGCCAGGCCCUGUGCAGGGGGUGGUGCGCUUCCUGCAGCUGACCCCUGAGUGCUGCCUCAUCGAGGGGACCAUUGACGGCCUGAAGCCUGGGCUACACGGACUCCAUGUCCAUCAGUUCGGGGAUCUCACAAGGAACUGCAACAGCUGUGGGGACCACUUUAACCCUGAUGGAAUGUCUCACGGGGGCCCCCAGGACUCUGACCGGCACCGUGGAGACCUGGGGAACGUCCAGGCGGAUGCUGAUGGCCGAGCUGUCUUCAGAAUAGAGGAUGAGAAGCUGAAGGUGUGGGAUGUGAUUGGCCGAAGCCUGGUCAUUGAUGAGGGAGAAGACGACCUGGGCCGGGGCGGCCACCCCCUAUCCAAAGUCACAGGGAACUCUGGAGAGAGGUUGGCCUGUGGCAUCAUCGCUCGCUCCUCCGGCCUUUUCCAGAACCCCAAGCAGAUCUGCUCCUGCGACGGCCUCACCAUCUGGGAGGAGCGAGGCCGGCCCAUCGCAGGCAAAGGCCGAAAGGAGCCCACCCAGCCCCCCGCCCACCUCUGAGCACAGCCUCAGCCUGGGGUCUGUCACCGUCCUCCCUGCUGAGUGCCGUCCACUCCAGAGGGAGGCCCUGCUCGCCCAGCCCUAGAAGAACUAGCAAGCAGGGGACUGAAUAUCAGAAAAGCCGAUCUGCUGAGGAGGAGGAGUGAGGCAGAUGCACAAGGAGAACCUAAGAGUCACUGGAGGAGGCCAGACGCUCCAGAGUCCACACUCAGCCUU